ACAUGCAAGUCGAACGAGACCUUCGGGUCUAGUGGCGCACGGGUGCGUAACGCGUGGGAAUCUGCCCUUGGGUUCGGAAUAACUCGCCGAAAGGCGUGCUAAUACCGGAUGAUGUCGUAAGACCAAAGAUUUAUCGCCCAGGGAUGAGCCCGCGUAAGAUUAGCUAGUUGGUGAGGUAAAGGCUCACCAAGGCGACGAUCUUUAGCUGGUCUGAGAGGAUGAUCAGCCACACUGGGACUGAGACACGGCCCAGACUCCUACGGGAGGCAGCAGUGGGGAAUAUUGGACAAUGGGCGAAAGCCUGAUCCAGCAAUGCCGCGUGAGUGAUGAAGGCCUUAGGGUUGUAAAGCUCUUUUACCCGGGAUGAUAAUGACAGUACCGGGAGAAUAAGCUCCGGCUAACUCCGUGCCAGCAGCCGCGGUAAUACGGAGGGAGCUAGCGUUGUUCGGAAUUACUGGGCGUAAAGCGCACGUAGGCGGCCUUGUAAGUCAGAGGUGAAAGCCUGGAGCUCAACUCCAGAACUGCCUUUGAGACUGCAUCGCUUGAAUCCAGGAGAGGUGAGUGGAAUUCCGAGUGUAGAGGUGAAAUUCGUAGAUAUUCGGAAGAACACCAGUGGCGAAGGCGGCUCACUGGACUGGUAUUUGACGCUUAAGGUUGCGA
rnacentral:rRNA from 1 species